rfam:Ipomoea nil DNA, scaffold: scaffold0164, cultivar: Tokyo-kokei standard.
GCUGGAGUAGUUCAGUUGGUUAGAGCGUGUGGUUGUUAAUCACAAGGUCGAAGGUUCAAGUCUUUCCUUUAGCG